AUACUCGCAGGCCACAUCAGCUGCUGCAUCCUCUGCUCGCCUACUCAGCUACUCUGCUCUGCCACUGCAGCUCUUCUCGCCCACGUCAACCUGAGCUCCUUCGCUUCUCCACGCAAUCCAUCACAGCUCAUCCCCCACAACCCCAGCUCAAAUCGCUGACAAGACCCCCCGCCGCCUCGAUCUCUACGACUCCUCCGCAUCCGUGUCACUCACCUCCUCCCCCUCUCACCGGCGGCAGCCUGGUUCUCGUCGAUCCGGGAGGGCGAGCGCUCUCCGCGCCUGCCGCCUGGGCCAGUGGCAGUCCUUUACUGCCCUCGGGCUCCGGGCCCCAUCGGUUUCUGGGCGGGGGGCACAAGUGUAAAACGGAAGCAAGGUCGCCGGCUGCCGAGACGGCGGGCUGGAAGUUACCCUGCUGCCCUCCCCCGCGUGGGCCACCGGCGGAGGAGCGCCGUGUCGUCUUGGGCAGGGGCAGGAGGGUAAAUUCAACGCACCGCGCUCGCGCGGGAAAUCCGGAGGGGGCGGGUGGUACUUGUGUAUCACCCAGCUUUGUUUCGUCCCAGCGCUGCUCUGCCCUGCGGCUCUGCCCCUCCCCCCUUUUCACCCCCCUCCCCCGCGGGACCUCGGGGCCGUGGGUCUGCGGGGGUUAGGGUUUCGUGCUCGCCUCGCCCAGCUUCGGUCGGGGUCGCCGUCGCUGUCCGCUCAGAUGCUGCCGCCUGCUGCUUCUGCUGGGACGCGCCUCUCGCCCCCGCUCCGUAGCUAGCGCGUCGUCGUCCGGGAUCGAUCUGAGCGCGCGCGCCCUGUCGCCCCGCGCUCCGAUCAAGUCCGGCGCCUCGUGAUCCCCAUCGCGCGCGGCUCGAUCGCGCCCCCAGGAUGCGAGCGGUUUGAAGGUUCUUACAAUGAGAAUCAUGCAGUUUUCCGACUUCGCAUCCUGGACUGUUUCUCGUGUUCCUCUUGGAUUGCUGAAGGGCAAAGCCAUGGAGAGUGGAACCAACGCCAGUCAUGCUAGGGAAAGGAACUACGAGGUCAUGGAAGAAUUCCUCAGUUCAACCACCCCGAUCCUUGCACAUACUGCUCUCCUCUUGAGCUUGGAGAAGAUAACCUGAGGAUCUCCUACCUCAGGCCAAGCCCCCCAGCGCAGCGGCCCCAUCGUAAGAGGGGUUAUUCGUCUGCACGUGCCCAUCAACAACUCCUGAAACUAUUCUCCACACUAACACUGAUGAACUCAUCCGGGUGGUUCUCCAUCAAGUUGAGCUCUAGUGAUAGCUAACUAUAUAUAGUACGCCUCUACCACCCUCAGUUUCAUAGCGCCCUCUAUUUUGUUCUGCUCGGCCUCUAAGGUGAACUACUGCCCCAAGUUUAUGCUUGUGUGCUCAAGAUGAGCGUUGUGCCAUGUGUUUUUGGUGCGAAUGUAUUGCAGGGUAGACCAAUUUGUAGACUGGAGAUCCGUGGACUCGAUGCUUAUUAAAUCCGUUAUGUUAUGUAAACCUGAAUCAUUGUUGUGUCACUAAUUAUGCAAUACAAUUCUGAUGGGGUGAUCUUAAUGGGAAAUGCUCUUUCCUAUGGGAUUUCCUUUUCGGAUGACGGCGA